rnacentral:rRNA from 1 species
UACGAAGGGGGCUAGCGUUGCUCGGAAUUACUGGGCGUAAAGCGCACGUAGGCGGUCUUUUAAGUCGGUGGUGAAAUCCUGGAGCUCAACUCCAGAACUGCCUUCGAUACUGGAAGACUUGAGUCCGGGAGAGGUGAGUGGAACUGCGAGUGUAGAGGUGAAAUUCGUAGAUAUUCGCAAGAACACCGGUGGCGAAGGCGGUCUGCUGGGCAGUUGCUGACACUGAGGCGCGACAGCGUGGGGAGCAAACAGG